rnacentral:rRNA from 1 species
AACGCCGCGUGAAGGAAGAAGGCUUUCGGGUUGUAAACUUCUUUUCUCAGGGACGAAGCAAGUGCCGGUACCUGAGGAAUAAGCCACGGCUAACUACGUGCCAGCAGCCGCGGUAAUACGUAGGGGGCUAGCGUUAUCCGGAAUUACUGGGCGUAAAGGGUGCGUAGGUGGUUUCUUAAGUCAGAGGUGAAAGGCUACGGCUCAACCGUAGUAAGCCUUUGAAACUGGGAAACUUGAGUGCAGGAGAGGAGAGUGGAAUUCCUAGUGUAGCGGUGAAAUGCGUAGAUAUUAGGAGGAACACCAGUUGCGAAGGCGGCUCUCUGGACUGUAACUGACACUGAGGCACGAAAGCGUGGGGAGC